CUCCACUCCAGCGUUUCGAAUCAGCUCUCGAUUACCAACACUUGUUUCGGUACUUGCACGGUACAUACUGGAGCACGAGUAAACAGAUCAUCUCUUCAUCCUACUGUUAUUACUUAAGCGCGAAAAAAACACCACAAGAAACGGAGGACUAGCUGAAUGUGUGUGCAUGCAGGGAGGAAAGACAUCGAUUUCUCUCUGAGCUCACACAGUCUGCCCACAGGCUGCGGGGCAAUGCCCACGCCAAUCAGGACCUUUCACCAUCAUCACAGCCACACAGACCACACGAAACAACACGGGAUGAGAAAGAGACUGAGAAGAAAGGCGAUAUCUGUUCAACUCCCAGCUCUCAAACACCCUGCAAGUAGGUCAGUGCGGGUGAAUAAUUUAGAUCCCUGACGUUACAGUGCUGGUUUGUGUGCUGCUGCUGGAAGGCUGGGAGACAUGGAGGUAAUGUAUUGCAGCAGGAGUGCACAACAGAGCCCUUGCUAAAGGCCAGCAGCGGCAUGUGUCUGCCUGACUCGAGAGAGAGAGAGAGACCGAAUAAUAACACUGAGGUCCUGGGAGCCACGGGCCGAUGCGUGAAGUCAUCCAAACCACUAGAUCUCUCACUCUACGAGCUGACAUGGAAGGGAUGAAAGACCACAGCUAUCAUAUACAUAGAGAUUAGUAGUCAACUGAAAUUUUGUUAUGCUUUUGAUAUAAAAUGGGUGGGGGAAGGUACAGUCUUUAUAAUGCAUUGGGUUUAGCGAGAGACAACUUAGACUCAAUGUUCCUUUUCUUGACAUGAACACAGAGAGAAAAAAGGGAGCUCUAGAACAGGGAUGAAGGAGUGAGAUAAAGGUGUGGGAUAACGGUUAAAGAUGUCAGCAGGAAACUGAAAACACAUGGAGAUCCAUGAGGUAUCACCAUUGUGCCGGAACAAUCAUCUCAAGUUGCAAGUAAAGCUUGGCAACAUAUAUUGAAUUUUCACAACAUAUACUACUGUUCAAAGUCUUAGGGUUGGAAAGAUUUUUCAAUAUUUUUGAAAAAAAUCCCUUAUGCUCACCCAGGCUGAAUUAAUUUGAUCAAAAAUCAGGAAAACAGUAAUAAUGUGAAUAUUACAAUUUAAAAUGAUUUAUUUUUAAAAUAUUUUAAAAGGUUAUGUAUUCCUUUAGUCUACAGUGUCU